rnacentral:rRNA from 1 species
GACGAACGCUGGCGGCGUGCUUAACACAUGCAAGUCGAACGGAAAGGCCCUGCUUUUGUGGGGUGCUCGAGUGGCGAACGGGUGAGUAACACGUGAGUAACCUGCCCUUGACUUUGGGAUAACUUCAGGAAACUGGGCUAAUACCGGAUAGGAGCUCCUGCUGCAUGGUGGGGGUUGGAAAGUUUCGGCGGUUGGGGAUGGACUCGCGGCUUAUCAGCUUGUUGGUGGGGUAGUGGCUUACCAAGGCUUUGACGGGUAGCCGGCCUGAGAGGGUGACCGGCCACAUUGGGACUGAGAUACGGCCCAGACUCCUACGGGAGGCAGCAGUGGGGAAUAUUGCACAAUGGGCGGAAGCCUGAUGCAGCAACGCCGCGUGCGGGAUGACGGCCUUCGGGUUGUAAACCGCUUUCGCCUGUGACGAAGCGUGAGUGACGGUAAUGGGUAAAGAAGCACCGGCUAACUACGUGCCAGCAGCCGCGGUGAUACGUAGGGUGCGAGCGUUGUCCGGAUUUAUUGGGCGUAAAGGGCUCGUAGGUGGUUGAUCGCGUCGGAAGUGUAAUCUUGGGGCUUAACCCUGAGCGUGCUUUCGAUACGGGUUGACUUGAGGAAGGUAGGGGAGAAUGGAAUUCCUGGUGGAGCGGUGGAAUGCGCAGAUAUCAGGAGGAACACCAGUGGCGAAGGCGGUUCUCUGGGCCUUUCCUGACGCUGAGGAGCGAAAGCGUGGGGAGCGAACAGGCUUAGAUACCCUGGUAGUCCACGCUGUAAACGGUGGGUACUAGGUGUGGGGUCCAUUCCACGGGUUCCGUGCCGUAGCUAACGCUUUAAGUACCCCGCCUGGGGAGUACGGCCGCAAGGCUAAAACUCAAAGGAAUUGACGGGGCCCCGCACAAGCGGCGGAGCAUGCGGAUUAAUUCGAUGCAACGCGUAGAACCUUACCUGGGUUUGACAUGGAUCGGGAGUGCUCAGAGAUGGGUGUGCCUCUUUUGGGGUCGGUUCACAGGUGGUGCAUGGCUGUCGUCAGCUCGUGUCGUGAGAUGUUGGGUUAAGUCCCGCAACGAGCGCAACCCUUGUUCACUGUUGCCAGCACGUUAUGGUGGGGACUCAGUGGAGACCGCCGGGGUCAACUCGGAGGAAGGUGGGGAUGACGUCAAGUCAUCAUGCCCCUUAUGUCCAGGGCUUCACGCAUGCUACAAUGGCUGGUACAGAGAGUGGCGAGCCUGUGAGGGUGAGCGAAUCUCGGAAAGCCGGUCUCAGUUCGGAUUGGGGUCUGCAACUCGACCUCAUGAAGUCGGAGUCGCUAGUAAUCGCAGAUCAGCAACGCUGCGGUGAAUACGUUCCCGGG